AGGGGUGAGCAUUCGGUUCGGUUAACCGAAAACCGAACCGAAUAACCGAAAAAAGUUCGGUUCGGUUAACCAAACUAAAUAUUUCGGUUCGGUUUUCGGCAGCAAAAUUUUUAAAAUUUCGGUUUUCGGUUUUUCGGUUUUUUAACCGCGGUUAACCGAUAACCGUUCGGUUAACCGAAUUGUCAAUACCUUAUAAAUAUUAAUAUUUUAAUUCAUAUCACCUAAUUAUCUAUACAGAAGACUUAUUCAGUUUAAAAUUAAAACCUGAUUUGAAGCUCCUGAAAUAUACCGAAGCUUCCACUUCAAUUAGCUCAUGUCCUUGUGAGAUUGUAAUUGUGAAGCAACUAAUCAAGGUAAAGAUUCAGCAACUUUAAAAUCAUAUUCAGUUUAUGAAUAAUCUUUGUCUUUGAGUAUAUGUAUUUGGGUUUGUGAAUCAUCUUCGGUCUAUGAAUCAUCUUGGUAAGUCUUUGUGUGUAUGUUAAUUAGAUUGCUGCGAUACACUCCUUUUGAAUCUUGGAGUAUAAAACAGUUGGUCAUGGCUGCUGCUGCUCUUUGUUUAGGUGCUGGACUCGUGUGAAUAACCAUCAGUGCAGAGAAUAUGUGAUAGUGUGUUACAGAGCUACAGCCAACAUCUUUAUUCAAAUUUUCGGUUUUUACACUUCGGUUUUCGGGAAAAACCGAAAUAUUUUUUCGGUUCGGUUUCAAAACCGAACUUUUUUCGGUUCGGUUUUCGGUAGGCAUAUUUUCAGAAAUUCGGUUUCGGUUAACCGAAUUAAUAUUCGGUUCGGUUCGGUUUUUACCGAAUGCACAG
rnacentral:lncRNA from 1 species